CCGAAGUCUCCUCUCCUGGGGUCCCCUGCUCUCCUACCUGGUCCAGGAUGUCACAUUCGGUAUGAGAAAAAGCCCUGUAGGGGACAAAGGUCCCCCCACCCCAGCCUCCACCGAGACACGCACCCCAGGGCUGUCUCCUACAGCAGCAAUGGAAAGGAGAUGAAGAGUUGUUUGGAAAUAGUAAAGGCCACGAUGGCAGGACCCCGCAGCACCCAUGCCGUCUUUGACCUCGACAACUUCAGAGGCUUCACAGACUAUGCCGAAUCAGUUCCACAGGUUCGCAGGACGUGUGGUGGCUUAGCUCCCAGACCACACCCUCCCCACAGAAGCCACAUGACAAGCGGGUAGGGCCCACACCGGCUCACAGUGGCCUGAUGAGCCACAAUGUACCUGAAGCUCCUGACACCCAGCAGGUGUUCAACCAAUGUUAUUUCUCCUUCCACACUAAAGAUAUAGGACUGUU